AUUGAACGCUGGCGGCAGGCCUAACACAUGCAAGUCGAACGAGUGGCGGACGGGUGAGUAAUGUCUGGGAAACUGCCCGAUGGAGGGGGAUAACUACUGGAAACGGUAGCUAAUACCGCAUACCAUCGGAUGUGCCCAGAUGGGAGUAGCUAGUAGGUGGGGUAACGGCUCACCUAGGCGACAAUCCCUAGAUGGUCUGAGAGUAUGACCAGAAACAGUGGAACUGAGACAAGGUCCAGACUCCUACGUGAGACGGCAGAGGGGAAAAUAGCACAAGGGGCUCAAGCCUGAUGCCGCCAUGCCGCGUGUAUGAAGAAGGCCAUCGGGUUGUAAAGUACUUUCAGCGAGGAGGCGUUACUCGCAGAAGAAGCACAGGCUAACUCCGUGCCAGCAGCCGCGGUAUUUC
rnacentral:rRNA from 1 species